ACAAACCAAAGGAUCUCUGGAAAGAGACAGGAAGGAGAAGCAAGUUGAGCAGGGAACCUUCUCCUGUGAGGAGCCCUCUCGUUCUCCUCCCACCUCACGAAGACAACAGCCUGACCUAGAAACUUUCUGAAGAUUUUUUAACCUCCAAAGCCAGCACAACCGAGCCUCCUCAGUGGCCCUGCGGCAGUCUGUUUCCUUUGAUUUCUCCAAAAGAAGAAAAGAAGAGAGAAACUGGAUAACUGCAUGACUUUUCUACCAAGAGAUGCGAGAGUGCUUCCUGAAUGAGAACACCUUUACCCAAGGCAAAAAAGAAAGUCAACAGGGCAAUCAGAACAAAAUUAUUCUCUGGGUUGGAAACGGGGUACUUUGUUUACUGAAGUUUUCCAAG